rnacentral:lncRNA from 1 species
GACAGCAAAGCUACUUACUCCAUCAUGCAUCGUACUGCUCCUAGUUGCUUGUGCUCUUGUGACCUCUCCAGUGAAGCCAGAGGAGCAAUAGCAGAGCAGUGUCGUAUCUCUCCUUAGAUGGACUCUGUCUGGAAGUAUGUACGACAGGACACUGGCAAACUGGCAGACUGUGGCAAACUGGGACUGGACCACAUCUCCUGCAUCACUUGUUUUCUGCUGCUGAACGUGAAGGCGAUGGGAAUUGAGGUGGGAGAGUGCCGGGGAGGACCGCAGCCAUGAGUGUGCCUACACGGCAGAGCUGGAUUUUGCGGCUUUUUCUGUCCCCGGUUGUGCGCCCAGUGGGGCCGGCUGCUCGCAGGGCUGAGCUGGGAAAGCGCAGGCGGGCGCGGCCA